rnacentral:rRNA from 1 species
GACGAACGCUGGCGGCGUGCUUAACACAUGCCAGUCGAACGGAAAGGCCCUGCUUUUGUGGGCUGCUCGAGUGGCGAACGGGUGAGUAACACUUGAGUAACCUGCCCUUGACUUUUGGAUAACUUCAGGCAACUGGGGCUAAUACCGGAUAGGAGCUCCUGCUGCAUGGUGGGCGUUGGAAAGUUUCGGCGGUUGGGGAUGGACUCGCGGCUUAUCAGCUUGUUGGUGGGGUAGUGGAUUACCAAGGCUUUGACGGGUAGCCGGCCUGAGAGGGUGACCGGCCACAUUGCGACUGAGAUACGGCCCAGACUCCUACCGGACGCAGGAGUGGGGAAUAGUGCACAAUGAGCGGAAGGCUGAUGCAGCAACGCCGCGUGCGGGAUGACGGCCUUCGGGUUGUAUUCCGCUUUCGCCUGUGACGGGGCGUGAAUGACGGUAAUGGGUGAAGAAGCACCGGCUAACUACGUG